rnacentral:rRNA from 1 species
CCUACGGGGGGCUGCAGUGGGGGAUAUUGCACAAUGGGGGGAACCCUGAUGCAGCGACGCCGCGUGGGUGAAGAAGCGCCUCGGCGCGUAAAGCCCUGUCAGCAGGGAAGAAAAUGACGGUAACUGAAGAAGAAGCCCCGGCUAACUACGUGCCAGCAGCCGCGGUAAUACGUAGGGGGCAAGCGUUAUCCGGAUUUACUGGGUGGAAAGGGGGCGCAGACGGCGAUGCAAGCCAGGAGUGAAAGCCCGGGGCCCAACCCCGGGACUGCGCUUGGAACUGCGUGGCUGGAGUGCAGGAGGGGCAGGUGGAAUUCCUGGUGUAGCGGUGAAAUGCGUAGAUAUCAGGAGGAACACCGGUGGCGAAGGCGGCCUGCUGGACUGCAACUGACGUUGAGGCCCGAAAGCGUGGGGAGCAAACAGGAUUAGAUACCCGUGUAGUC